UGGCACCUGUUCCUGUUUUCACAAUUAGGAAACCAUCAUUCCUACUCAGCUCCUGAGCCCACAGCUGUAUUGGAGUUCUCUGGACACCACUCCCUUCCUCUGACUUCCCCUCUGCCAGCUUCCCAUGUGGUUUUCUUCUCUCCAACCAAGAGUCAGUGGAUCCCAAGCACUAUUUUAUCAGAGUUAAAGACUGUCUUCUUUCUCAUUAGAAUAGAUUCCAAGUGAAUUCCAACCCAUUUGAUCUUAAGGAGGAGCUGCCAAGUCCCAGUGACAGUUAGUGAUGACAUUAGAAGAAAAUGAACCGCUCAGCAAUUUUGCAUCUCAAUAGUCGGCCCUUCUCUACACACGGCUGAGUUAGAGGUGCUGGAUCCAGCUCUCGUGCCCCGCAAGAACAUGACCAGUGGGAUCAAGUCUUUAGAGUUCUUCAGGCCAAAUGUGAUGCUGUGUGGCUUCUGAAGCCAGGGCUAAAAGGCCAUGUGGUUUCUGCCUUGUUCACUGGAGCAUUUGCUCUUGAAGUCCUGACUGCCUGGUAAAAAGACCAAUGCCUCUGAAGCUGCCAUGCUCUGAGGAAGCCCAAGCCACGUGGGGAGGCUGUGUGGAAACACUCUGAUCAGCAGUCCCAGCCGAGCUCAGGCACCAGAGAUGUGAGUGAAGAAACUUCUAGAAGAUUGCAGUCAUUCAAGUCUUUUACAUUGUGGAACAGAGAACAGAGACAAGCCAACUCUACAGUGCCCUGCCCAAAUUCCCAACCCACAAAAUCCAUGAUAAUAAUAAAAUGUUGGUUGUUUUCCUCCUGUAAGUUUUGGGGAAUUUUGUUCCUUAGCAACUAAUAGCUGAAACACUGAGAACUCUGCUCCUUGCGUCCAUGCAAGAUUAGAAAAUCUUUAUUUUGUAUCUUUUCUUUUAUGUUGUUUUCCUUCUGUUUCACUUGACAUCUAUUAUUGUGGGAGAAAUCCUGAACUCUUCCAAUUCCUUCUAGAAAAGCCAAAGAAGCAUCUUUCGAUGAUAAUCAGCAAUAAAUAGUCAAUUAUUUGCAGAUCUACACAAAUACGCCAAACAGAGAACCCAUAGCGGCAUGUUAUGGUUUGGCUCUGUGUCCCCACCCAAAUCUCAC
rnacentral:lncRNA from 1 species